CAUGAAUGGGUCGAAAGCUGUCUUGGGUAACAACUUCUAUCAAAAGGAUCUAUGAAACAACAUCAAGUGUAUAAAACAAUCCUCGAUACUUUUCUCCAUGGAUGAAGUAAACCCCAAGGGUCCCAUGAAGGAGAGCACAGGGAACCCAGAAGGCUUGAAGCUAUCUUGAAGCUAUCUCCUGUGUGAGUCACUACCUCAGAAAUUUAUAGUGGAUAAUGACACUACUAAAUUCUUUUAAAUUUGGUAAGUAAUAUAAUCUGACUUCAAAUUCCUUGUUGUGUGUCUCAUGAAGCUCAGAAGCAGGGGGAGGUAAAAGAUUGUUAUUUUUCUCGAUAUAUUUGUGAAGAUUCUUGUAGACUAGAUUUCCCUCUUCUUGGGCAUUCAAUACGUAGUAAAUUUCUCACUUUCUUUGGGCACUGAAAGAUAACACCUUUGUCUGUUAGGAAAGAUUAUGAAAUACUACACCUGGUUCAGUGGAGUCGCCAUUCUCCCAAAGGGAGAUUAAGAAGUCUAUUCAUUUUAUUUUAUUUAA